rnacentral:rRNA from 1 species
AUUGGACGCUGGCGGAAUGCUUUACACAUGCAAGUCGAACGGCAGCACGGGGGCGAACCUUGGUGGCGAGUGGCGAACGGGUGAGUAAUACAUCGGAACGUGCCCAGUCGUGGGGGAGUAACUACGCGAAAGCGUAGCUAAUACCGCAUACGAACUCUGGUUGAAAGCGGGGGACUCGCAAGAGCCUCGCGCGAUUGGAGCGGCCGAUGGCAGAUUAGGUAGUUGGUGGGGUAAAGGCNCACCAAGCCGACGAUCUGUAGCUGGUCUGAGAGGACGACCAGCCACACUGGGACUGAGACACGGCCCAGACUCCUACCGGGAGGCAGCAGUGGGGAAUUUUGGACAAUGGGCGCAAGCCUGAUCCAGCCAUUCCGCGUGCAGGAUGAAGGCCCUCGGGUUGUAAACUGCUUUUGGACGGAACGAAAAGCGCCAGGUUAAUACCUUGGCGUCAUGACGGUACCGUCAGAAUAAGCACCGGCUAACUACGUGCCAGCCGCCGCA